rnacentral:rRNA from 1 species
GACGAGGGAUCCUAGCGUUGCUCGGAAUCAUUGGGCGUAAAGAGGGCGUAGGUGGCUAGGUAAGUCAGGUGUGAAAGCCCAGGGCUCAACCCUGGAAGUGCAUUUGAUACUGCUUAGCUUGAGUGUUGGAGAGGUUAUCGGAAUACCUGGUGUAGUGGUGAAAUACGUAGAUAUCAGGUGGAACACCGGAGGCGAAGGCGGGUAACUGGCCAAACACUGACACUGAGGCCCGAAAGCAUGGGGAUCAAACAGG